GUGCCAGCCGCCGCGGUAAGACGGAGGGUGCUAACGUUGUUCGGAAUCACUGGGCGUAAAGGGCGCGUAGGCGGCUUCAUUAGUCAGAUGUGAAAGCCCGGGGCUCAACCCCGGAACUGCAUUUGAUACUGUGGAGCUAGAGGUCGAAAGAGGAGAGUGGAAUACCCAGUGUAGAGGUGAAAUUCGUAGAUAUUGGGUGGAACACCAGUGGCGAAAGCGGCUCUCUGGUUCGAUUCUGACGCUGAGGCGCGAAAGCGUGGGGAGCAAACAGGAUUAGAUACCCGAGUAGUCC
rnacentral:rRNA from 1 species